AUUGAACGCUGGCGGCAGGCCUAACACAUGCAAGUCGAACGAGUGGCGGACGGGUGAGUAAUGUCUGGGAAACUGCCCGAUGGAGGGGGAUAACUACUGGAAACGGUAGCUAAUAGCGCAUACCAUCGGCUGCGCCCAGAUGGGAUUAGCUAGUAGGUGGGGGAAUGGCUCACCUAGGCGACGAUCCCUAGCUGGUCUGCGAGGAUGACCAGCCAACCUGGAACGGAGACCCGGUCACGACUCCUACGUGAGGCAGCAGUGGGGAAUAUUGCACAAUGGGCGCAAGCCUGAUGCAGCCAUGCCGCGUGUAUGAAGAAGGCCUUCGGGUUGUAAAGUACUUUCAGCGGGGAGGCGUUACCCGCAGAAGAAGCACCGGCUAACUCCGUGCCAGCAGCCGCGGUAAUAC
rnacentral:rRNA from 1 species